CAGUAGCCGCGGGAAUACGUAGGUGGCAAGCGUUGUCCGGAAUUAUUGGGCGUAAAGCGCGCGCAGGUGGUUUAAUAAGUCUGAUGUGAAAGCCCACGGCUCAACCGUGGAGGGUCAUUGGAAACUGUUAAACUUGAGUGCAGGAGAGAAAAGUGGAAUUCCUAGUGUAGCGGUGAAAUGCGUAGAGAUUAGGAGGAACACCAGUGGCGAAGGCGGCUUUUUGGCCUGUAACUGACACUGAGGCGCGAAAGCGUGGGGAGCAAACAGGAUUAGAUACCCCCGUAGUCCCUGUCUCUUAUAA
rnacentral:rRNA from 1 species